GUGCUCACCUCAGCAGCACAUAUACUGAAACAGGAACAUAGAGAGAACAUUAGCACAGCCCUUCCACAAAGAUGACACACAAAUUCACAGAGUGUCCAAUAUUAGA